UACGUAGGCAGCAAGCGUUGUUCGGAGUUACUGGGCGUAAAGAGUGCGUAGGCGGUCCUGUAAGUUUGGUGUGAAAUCUCCCGGCUCAACUGGGAGGGUGCGCCGAAGACUGCAGGGCUUGAGUAUGGGAGAGGUAAGCGGAAUUCCUGGUGUAGCGGUGAAAUGCGUAGAUAUCGAGAGGAACACCUGCGGCGAAGGCGGGUUGCUGGGCCGACACUGACGCUGAUGCGCGAAAGCCAGGGGAGCGAACGGG
rnacentral:rRNA from 1 species